GUACUGGAUUGUGUCUUUCGUCCACCACUGCAAGUGACCAAUAAUGACUACCUUUCUUUUGGACACUCAUAACCCAGGGUCAUGGAAAAAAAAGGUGGACUGUGGACUGUGAAAAGAAUUCCUACCCCUCCUACAUGACCCUGUCGGCCACAACACAAUCGGCACGUCUGCUGACUUGUCCAGAACGGGCUGGUGUGUGUGACCUGCAGACCUGCCUUUGAACAGGUGACCUAAAGGUCUUCACAGUGGAAGACGGGCCAAACCGACUUCGUUUCCACACUGGAAUGGAAGCACUGGGGUCUUGUCCGGGGAGCUGUUUACAGGCCAGGCCUGUGAGGGAAUGUGUUGUUCUUUUGAUUACAUUGUUGGCGAUUCAGAGCUCUGACAUGGGGUCCGCGGGCCAGUGUCCACUAAGCCCCAAUAACAAGGCUGCAAUGGGCUGCUGCUAAAGCUGUCCCACAAGAGGACAAAAGGCAGGGGCUUUAGCCUGCAGGCCUCAAAUUGCUGACACCAAGGCAGCAUUCUGCCUCCGUGCUGCUGCCCCUCUCCCUCUUUCCACAUCACCAUUUGUCCCCCUCUGUCCGUCUCGCCAUCGCUAUUUCUCUGUGUCUUCUAUAUGGCAGGGACCCUCUCCCAGCCGGCCCACCGCCGCUAGUUCGACAGAAGGGGGGUCGCAUCGGGAGCAUCUGGCAUUUUUAGCAUCGUAUAUGUAGUGUGUGUGUUUGAGUCCUGCCUCUGCCAUGUGUGAGUGCCUGCGUGGGAUUUUCAGAGUCACCUGGACACCUCCUUCCAGUGCAGACUCUGAUAUAGAACUGGAAGACGACCAUGAUUUGUCCCAGGCAAGAGAAUCAGUUGUAAAAGACAGAAGGCGUUCUCCUCCCUCGGACAGAGCCCCCUCAGCUCCCCACCUCUCCCACCACCACAGUGCAUCUGUGGAUGAGCAGGAAAGCCCAGAGAGAGUGAUUCAGAAGGAAAAACUCCAUGCAGAGCUGAAGGAGGUCCUGAGUCUGAAAAGAAGUCAGCUGAAAGAAACAUCUCACUCUAUGCAAGACGAAAUGGACACAACACUGAACAAAAAUGGUUCAGGGGUAAGAGGGAGAAGACCCUGAGCCUAGCAAACCAGAAAAAUCAUGCUUGGACACUUGACUAUUGUCACAACUCUUUAAAUCUGCAAUAAACUGAAAAUGUAACCCCUUAAUUAGAGUCGA
rnacentral:lncRNA from 1 species